rnacentral:rRNA from 1 species
CACGUAGGGGGCAAGCGUUGUCCGGAAUUAUUGGGCGUAAAGAGCUCGUAGGCGGUUUGUCGCGUCUGCUGUGAAAACUCGAGGCUCAACCUCGGGCUUGCAGUGGGUACGGGCAGACUAGAGUGCGGUAGGGGUGACUGGAAUUCCUGGUGUAGCGGUGGAAUGCGCAGAUAUCAGGAGGAACACCGAUGGCGAAGGCAGGUCACUGGGCCGCAACUGACGCUGAGGAGCGAAAGCAUGGGGAGCGAACAGG